rnacentral:rRNA from 1 species
AACGCGAAGAACCUUACCUGGGUUUGACAUCCCUUGACACGCCUAGAGAUAGGAAUUCCUAUUCGGAGGCAAGGAGACAGGUGCUGCAUGGCUGUCGUCAGCUCGUAUCGUGAGAUGUCGGGUUAAGUCCCUUAACGAGCGCAACCCUUAUCCCUAGUUGCCAUCAUUUAGUUGGGCACUCUAUGGAGACUGCCGGUGUUAAACCGGAGGAAGGCGGGGAUGACGUCAAGUCCUCAUGGCCCUUAUGUCCAGGGCGACACACGUGCUACAAUGGCCGAUACAAAGGGUUGCCAACCCGCGAGGGGGAGCUAAUCUCAGAAAAUCGGUCUCAGUUCGGAUUGAAGUCUGCAAUUCGACUUCAUGAAGCUGGAAUCGCUAGUAAUCGCGGAUCAGAACGCCGCGGUGAAUACGUUCCCGGGCCUUGUACACACCGCGAGC